GAUGAACGCUGGCGGCGUGCCUAAUACAUGCAAGUCGAGCGGUAAGGCUUUCACUCUGUAUUUAAUGAGUUGAAUAUAGUGUGAAAGUACACGAGCGGCGGACGGCUGAGUAACGCGUAGGAACGUACCCCAAAGUGAGGGAUAAGCACCGGAAACGGUGUCUAAUACCGCAUGUGAUCUUCGGAUUAAAGCUUUAUGCGCUUUGAGAGCGGCCUGCGUAAGAUUAGUUUGUUGGUGAGGUAAUGGCUCACCAAGACUACGAUCUUUAGCUGGUCUGAGAGGAUGAUCAGCCAGACUGGGACUGAGACACGGCCCAGACUCCUACGGGAGGCAGCAGUAGGGAAUUUCCACAAUGGACGAAAGUCUGAUGGAGCAACGCCGCGUGCAGGAUGAAGGCCUUCGGGUUGUAAACUGCUUUAUCUGUGACGAUUAUGACGGUAGCAGAUGAAUAAGGAUCGGCUAACUCCGUGCCAGCAGCCGCGGUAA
rnacentral:rRNA from 1 species